ACAGGCUCACUGCUCAUUGGCCCAAACCAAGAGUGAGGAUGGCUUUCAUGCCUAUGCCACGGAGUUACCGUGACUACCACAUCUCUGAUAGGUAGCACAGCUGGGCAGCAUCUGGCACACAGGAAGUGACCACCUUCUGAGGAGAGCACCUUUGUCUUAAAGCCAAGGACGUGAUCCCACCAUCCAUGUCAA
ensembl:lincRNA Gm43001 predicted gene 43001